UGAGGAAUAUUGGUCAAUGGACGCAAGUCUGAACCAGCCAUGCCGCGUGCAGGAUGACGGCUCUAUGAGUUGUAAACUGCUUUUGUACGAGGGUAAACCCCGAUACGUGUAUCGGGUUGAAAGUAUCGUACGAAUAAGGAUCGGCUAACUCCGUGCCAGCAGCCGCGGUAAUACGGAGGAUCCGAGCGUUAUCCGGAUUUAUUGGGUUUAAAGGGUGCGUAGGCGGUUUGAUAAGUUAGAGGUGAAAUGUCGGGGCUCAACCCCGAAACUGCCUCUAAUACUGUUGGACUAGAGAAUAGUUGCGGUAGGCGGAAUGUAUGGUGUAGCGGUGAAAUGCUUAGAGAUCAUACAGAACACCGAUUGCGAAGGCAGCUUACCAAACUAUAUCUGACGUUGAGGCACGAAAGCGUGGGUAGCAAACAGG
rnacentral:rRNA from 1 species